UUUUGCCUGUAUUUUUCUCAUGCAUUAACUGAGGUUAUGGGUUUUUCUUGAGUUAAGAGAAUCAGCUGCUUCCCCAAGGAGCCAAGGGUACUUUUAAUGGAAAAUGAUAUUAGAAAUCAAGAUUUGGACAUUUGGGAUGUUGUUGCUUCUAGACACUCUCAGCUGACAGAGCAAGGAAAUAUUUGUGCAUAUGCUGACCUGACUAAAUACGCAUAUCUGCUCCAUACCUACCUAACAUCUAUCUUUUCAAGAACUCUGCCAGGGAAGGAGUAGUUUCUGUGUUUCAUAAACAGACUGAGACUCAAAGAGGCUAAGUAAACUACCUGAAGCCAUAUAGCAACACACAAUGACGGAUAAAACACUAGAUCUGAAUAACAAAGGAUGCAUACUUAAGCAAACUAAGGCAUAUAUAGUUAUCACUAAAUGCUCAACCUGGAAAGAAUAUUGGAUUGCAGUCUGCUUUUUCGGUAAAGACAAUAGUAUUAUAAAAC
rnacentral:lncRNA from 1 species